rnacentral:lncRNA from 9 species
UUUUUUUUUUUUUUAAAUGCAAACAAUCUCAGGCAAAGGAAGUACAAAUAAAGCCGCUGGGUGGACUCUCCCGUUGUGGGGCUGUGGUCCUCAGGACCUGCGGCAAGGGCCGUGACCUUGCCCCUGGGCCCUGCCCCUCCCCCACGGGCCAGCACUACCUCGAGCUUGGCCAGCUCCUCGCCGUUGUGGAGGAUGCGGAAGGAGUAGAGGUGGUCCGGGCUCGGGUCUGGGACCACCUCACAGCCCACCAGGCUGAGGGGCUGCUGGGCCGCCUUGCUCCGGUUCCGGUCCUGGUAGAAGUACAGGUGACUGUCCCUGACGGAGCACCAGCGCGACUUCCACUGGCUGUUCACCAGCACGUUCAGGUAACCUGCGGGGAGGGAUGCAGCUGAGGGCGCUGGGUGGCGGGGGGCGGCCAGGGAUGCCUCCAGCCCCCUGAGAGGCUCCUCCAGAAUCUCAGUUCUAAGACUUGCCAGGCUUGGAGUUCCCGUCGUGGCGCAGUGGUUAACGAAUCCGACUAGGAACCAUGAGGAACUCCUGUGCUAUGUUUUAGAUUCCACAUAUAAGUGAUAUCAUAUGGUAUUUGUCUCUUUCUGACUUGCUUCACUUGGUAUGAGAAAUUUCUAGUUCCAUCCAUGUUGCUGCAAAUGGCAUUAUUUUGUUCUUUUUUAUGGCUGAGUAGUAUUCCAUUGUGUAUAUAUACCACAUCUUCUUAAUCCAAUCAUGUGUCGAUGGACAUUUAGGUUGUUUGCAUGUCUUGGCUAUUGUGAAUAGUGUUGCAAUGAACAGAGGGGUGCAUAUAUCUUUUUGAAUGAUAAUUUCUUCCAGAUAGAUGCCUAAGAGUGGAUGCCUGGAACAUAUGGGAGAACAUUUUAAGUGUGCAUUUGGCUUUUCUUCAGAUCUCCAUUCCCUCCCCAGCCAAAGGGAUCCCUCUGCUCCUCAUUCUCCUGUGCCAGUUUCUCCAAUACUCUGAGCCCCAGUCAUGGACACUUUGGAACUGCUGUUAGCCCCUUUUUCUCUGUGAUAGCCAAGUUCUCUAAUGCAACUCUACUCACUCUGAACUACUAUUCCCUUGACUCUCAAACCAGGCUUUAAGAGCCCCCUAAGGUAUGGUCAGCAUUUCAGCCCACAUGGUGCCCUGUGCCGUCUCACAGCCUCCCUGGCCCUGUUUAGCAAGUGUUUCCUGGGUACUGGCCGUAUCAAUGGCCCCUUUCACAAUGGUAGUUAAGGACCUACUCUCUGCCAGGGCUGUGCUAAACAAUGGGGGGGAACAGGCAAAUCCUAUUUCUCUAUUCCAGUUUGCAUAUAUUUCUUGCAAUCAUAAAACAAGAAUACCUGUUGCAGCCCUGUUUGCAUGGAAGGUAGUGGUGCUUCCUUUCUUCUGCCCCUGCAACCAUGAUGUUACUAAACUGAGGAUGCUUCUUGCAACCAGUGACAUCUCAGAAGCAGCCAUCCCUCAAUCGGCUCCUCCCCUCCUGACCACAGUGAUUUUCCAUUCACUCACACUGAGGGGCUAUUUGCACCGCGUUAGGUUUCUGUGGACAAGUUACUUUCUGUUUUCAAGUCCCUUAAAUGCUAAAAUUGUGUCUCUCUCAAAGCUCAAGCCAAAUUUUAUUUAUUUUAUUUGUCUUUUUAGGGCCGCACCCGCGGCAUAUGGAGAUUCCCAGGCUAGGGGCUGAAUCAGAGCCACAGCUGCUCGCCUACGUCACAGCCACAGCAAUGCCAGAUCCGAGGCAGAUCUGCGACCUACACCAUAGUUCAAGGCAAUGCUGGAUUCUUAACCCCCGGAGCAAGGCCAGGGAUCAAACCUGCAACCUCGUGGUUCCUAGUCAGAUUUGUUUCCGCUGCGCCACAACAGGAACUCCUCAAGCCAGAUUUUUACGUUGCAAGCAUCAUAGUUCCCUGUAGGCAGCCCCUCCUGCACCUGGGCAAGCACCUGGUGAGGCACCUGUUGGGCACACAGCCCUAAGCACUUCACACAUUUGAUGACAAAA